rnacentral:rRNA from 1 species
UACGAAGGGGGCUAGCGUUGCUCGGAAUCACUGGGCGUAAAGGGUGCGUAGGCGGGUCUUUAAGUCAGGGGUGAAAUCCUGGAGCUCAACUCCAGAACUGCCUUUGAUACUGAGGAUCUUGAGUUCGGGAGAGGUGAGUGGAACUGCGAGUUGUAGAGGUGAAAUUCGUAGAUAUUCGCAAGAACACCAGUGGCGAAGGCGGCUCACUGGCCCGAUACUGACGCUGAGGCACGAAAGCGUGGGGAGCAAAC